CAUUACGUCUUACCUGGGUUAAGCAUGCUGUCUUCCCCCUGCCCUAUGCCACUGAAGUGAAAACUGAUUAGAUCAUUCCUAUGGAUGUACAUCCAUGAUCAUUAAAGGGAGGCCUCCAUUUUGCAGCCAGAAAGCUAACAAACAAAUAGCAGACUUGCUAACACAGCCGCAGAUGCACCUGGACUAAGAGAGAGGACAAGUGAGGGAAGAUCAGCAGCUUGGUCGUCUGCUUUCGACUUGUCAUGACUAUAUUCAUAACCUGGAAUACGUUUCUAAGGAACCCUUUUGAUUUUUGCGAUCUGUGGACCCUUAUGGACUAAAGGAAUACAAACAAUGGAGGAAUGGAGAGAGAAUCGGAGUUCUACACAUCUAAAGAUGCUAAAGGUGAGCGAGCUCUGAAGGUCCUGCCAACUCUGUUUCCCCCAUCCAUCUACAAGAGAGGAAGAGAAGUCUUCAGACCUACCACUGAGGAGUCCCACUGGUCAUUUACUGACAUGCAACCUGUGUGAACCUUUUUACCGUAGAAUCUUUGUUUCUCUCUGCAAAACAUGCUGGACAGAAGAGGAAACGCAAACAAAUAUUACGCCACAAAUGAGAAGCACAAGGAGAAGCACAAGGAAGGCGCAGGAUAAGCCAACAGGGAGUGCUAUGGAUGAACUCUCCUCUGCACAGAAGGACAAAGGCAGCGAUGGCGCAGCUUGCCCUUUCCCCAAGACGAGUCACAAGGGACCACGAGUCAGACAGAGGGGAGUAGCAGUACAUGGCAUGCAUGGCACCACCUGGGAGCAGACAGAAUAAGCGAUUGUGAAAGGGAUCAUAGGCCUCUACGCUAGCAAGUCUCUGAACUCCAUCGAAUCCACCCAGUGCGUACACCUUCCCCUCGUGGACCG